rnacentral:lncRNA from 1 species
GAUACUAAAGAGCUGCCUUCUCAAGACACAUUGACCUGAAUCUAAUGCAGGAAAUCCGACCCAGACUUUGGGACACUAGAAGCCAGAUUCCCUGUGGCAGAGCCAUCUUUUCAUAGAUUAAAAAAAAAAUCUUUCCCAGUAUGGUGAAUAAACCACAGAACGUUUUCAAUUGUUUUUCUAAUUUAAACGUAAAUGCUCAAGGUAGAAAAAUAGAAAAGGUAACAGAAAUACCUCAAAAUACAAAGAACAUUUACCUAUAAUGUUCACAUCUAGAACUAAACACAAUUAAUAACAGGUUUAGCCAGAUGGACUUUCUGGGAGCUGAAUAUUC